rnacentral:tRNA from 1 species
GAGGGUAUAGCUCAACUGGGAGAGCGCGUGCUUAACAUGCAUGAGGUCCUGGAUUCAAUCCCCAGUACCUCCU